GCGCACUAUUAGCUUGUUGGUAGGGUAAAAGCCUACCAAGGCGAUGAUGGUUAUCCGGCCUGAGAGGGUGAUCGGACACAUUGGGACUGAGAUAUGGCCCUGACUCCUACGGGAGGCAGCAGUGGGGAAUUUUGCGCAAUGGACGAAAGUCUGACGCAGCAACGCCGCGUGGAGGAAGAAGCUCCUUUGGAGUGUAAACUUCUGUUAAUUAGGAAGAAAAGAUAGUAGUUAAUACCUAUUAUUUAUGACGUUACUAGUAAAGAAAGCACCGGCUAAUCUCGUGCCAGCAGCCGCGGUAAUACGAGAGGUGCAAGCGUUAUUCGGAAUUAUUGGGCGUAAAGGGCGCGUAGGCGGCUUUAUAAGUUUCUUGUUUAAGACUUCGGCCUAACUGAAGAAAAGCAAGGAAUACUGUAUAGCUAGAGUAUAAUAGAGAGAAGUGGAAUUUUCGGAGUAGCGGUUAAAUGCGUAGAUCUCGAAAGGAACGCCAAUGGCGAAGGCAGCUUCUUGGGUUAUUACUGACGCUGAGGCGCGAAGGCAUGGGGAGCAAACAGGAUUAGAUACCCUGGUAGUCCAUGCAGUAAACGAUGAUCACUAGGCGUAUAUAAUUUUAUUGUAUGUGCCGCAGCUAACGCGAUAAGUGAUCCGCCUGGGGAGUACG
rnacentral:rRNA from 1 species